rnacentral:rRNA from 1 species
UACGAAGGGGGCUAGCGUUGCUCGGAAUCACUGGGCGUAAAGGGCGCGUAGGCGGACGUUUAAGUCAGAGGUGAAAGCCCAGGGCUCAACCCUGGAAUGGCCUUUGAUACUGGACGUCUCGAGACCGGAAGAGGUUGGUGGAACUGCGAGUGUAGAGGUGAAAUUCGUAGAUAUUCGCAAGAACACCAGUGGCGAAGGCGGCCAACUGGUCCGGUUCUGACGCUGAGGCGCGAAAGCGUGGGGAGCAAAC